CCCUUAGAUGUUCUGGGCUGCACGCGCGCUACACUGAAGCGUUCAACGAGUAUUCACCUUGCCCGGGAGGGUUGGGUAAUCUUUUGAAAACGCUUCGUGAUGGGGAUAGAUUAUUGCAAUUAUUAAUCUUCAACGAGGAAUUCCUAGUAAGCGCGAGUCAUCAGCUCGUGCUGAUUACGUCCCUGCCCUUUGUACACACCGCCCGUCGCUACUACCGAUUGAAUGAUUUAGUGAGGACUUCGGACUGGGACCGAUGCGGCUUUCGGGCUGCGUCGGUAUUCUGGAAAGAUGUCCAAACUGUAUCAUUUAGAGGAAGUAAAAGUCGUAACA
rnacentral:rRNA from 1 species